rnacentral:misc_RNA from 1 species
AACCAUAGAAACCUGCGGAGUACCUGCGGAAGGAUCAUUACAGAGUUGCAAAACUCCCACAAACCAUCGCGAAUCUUACCCGUACGGUUGCCUCGGCGCUGGCGGUCCGGAAGGCCCUCGGGCCCCCGGACCCUCGGGUCUCCCGCUCGCGGGGGGCUGCCCGCCGGAGUGCCGAAACCAAACUCUUGAUAUUUUAUGUCUCUCUGAGUAAACUUUUAAAUAAGUCAAAACUUUCAACAA